rnacentral:tRNA from 1 species
CAAGGAGUAGUUUAAUUUAAAAUAUUAAUUUUGGAGAUUAAAGACGGGGUUGUUCCUUUCCUUGA